rnacentral:rRNA from 1 species
ACGGGUGAGUAACGCGUGGGAAUCUACCCAUCUCUACGGAAUAACGCAUGGAAACGUGUGCUAAUACCGUAUACGUCCUUCGGGAGAAAGAUUUAUCGGAGACGGAUGAGCCCGCGUUGGAUUAGCUAGUUGGUGGGGUAAAGGCCUACCAAGGCGACGAUCCAUAGCUGGUCUGAGAGGAUGAUCAGCCACACUGGGACUGAGACACGGCCCAGACUCCUACGGGAGGCAGCAGUGGGGAAUAUUGGACAAUGGGCGCAAGCCUGAUCCAGCCAUGCCGCGUGAGUGAUGAAGGCCCUAGGGUUGUAAAGCUCUUUCACCGGUGAAGAUAAUGACGGUAACCGGAGAAGAAGCCCCGGCUAACUUCGUGCCAGCAGCCGCGGUAAUACGAAGGGGGCUAGCGUUGUUCGGAUUUACUGGGCGUAAAGCGCACGUAGGCGGACUAUUAAGUCAGGGGUGAAAUCCCGGGGCUCAACCCCGGAACUGCCUUUGAUACUGGUAGUCUUGAGUUCGAGAGAGGUGAGUGGAAUUCCGAGUGUAGAGGUGAAAUUCGUAGA